rnacentral:lncRNA from 1 species
GCUGAAGGCAAGUAGGGCUCAUGGCAGACCAAAUGACUACGUGGUCCAUGGUGGACCAAAUGACUACGUGGUCCACAUGGGAACAGGAGUUGGGCGCUGGCUGGGUUUCAAAAGCGUGUGGCUUCAUGCGCUUCUUCAGCAGAAACCAAGCGAUGGACCCAUGUGGGGCCUGAUGCAUGGCUUCAUGUGGAGGCGAGCAU